rnacentral:snRNA from 1 species
ACUUUGGCAGAGCAUACUGUGGACUAAACUUGGAACAACACAUAGAAGGCUCACAUGUCUUCUGCUCAAGUAUGACAUGAAAAAGAAGUGAAGAUUGAACUCUACUC